rnacentral:rRNA from 1 species
GGAAUAUUGGACAAUGGGGGAAACCCUGAUCCAGCCAUGCCGCGUGUGUGGAGAAGGCUCUAGGGUUGUAAAGCACUUUCAGUAGGGAGGAAAAGUUGAUGCUUAAUACGCAUCAACCCUGACGUUACCUACAGAAGAAGCACCGGCAAACUCCGUGCCAGCAGCCGCGGUAAUACGGAGGGUGCGAGCGUUAAUCGGAAUUACUGGGCGUAAAGCGAGCGUAGGCGGCUAGAUUAGUUGGGUGUGAAAGCCCCGGGCUUAACCUGGGAACUGCAUUCAGAACUGUCUGGCUAGAGUAUGGUAGAGGGUAGUGGAAUUUCCUGUGUAGCGGUGAAAUGCGUAGAUAUAGGAAGGAACACCAGUGGCGAAGGCGGCUACCUGGACCAAUACUGACGCUGAGGUUCGAAAGCGUGGGGAGCAAAC